rnacentral:rRNA from 1 species
UACGUAGGGGGCUAGCGUUGUCCGGAUUUAUUGGGCGUAAAGAGCGUGUAGGCGGCCAGACAGGUCCGUUGUGAAAACUCGAGGCUCAACCUCGAGACGCCGAUGGAAACCGUCUGGCUAGAGUCCGGAAGAGGAGAGUGGAAUUCCCGGUGUAGCGGUGAAAUGCGCAGAUAUCAGGAAGAACACCCGUGGCGAAGGCGGCUCUCUGGGACGGUACUGACGCUGAGACGCGAAAGCGUGGGGAGCGAACAGG